rnacentral:rRNA from 1 species
GAUGAACGCUGGCGGCGUGCCUAAUACAUGCAAGUCGAGCGAACAGACGAGGAGCUUGCUCCUUCGACGUUAGCGGCGGACGGGUGAGUAACACGUAGGUAACCUACCUAUAAGACUGGGAUAACUUCGGGAAACCGGAGCUAAUACCGGAUAAUAUUUCGAACCGCAUGGUUCGAUAGUGAAAGAUGGCUUUGCUAUCACUUAUAGAUGGACCUGCGCCGUAUUAGCUAGUUGGUAAGGUAACGGCUUACCAAGGCAACAAUACGUAGCCGACCUGAGAGGGUGAUCGGCCACACUGGAACUGAGACACGGUCCAGACUCCUACGGGAGGCAGCAGUAGGGAAUCUUCCGCAAUGGGCGAAAGCCUGACGGAGCAACGCCGCGUGAGUGAUGAAGGUCUUCGGAUCGUAAAACUCUGUUAUUAGGGAAGAACAAACGUGUAAGUAACUGUGCACGUCUUGACGGUACCUAAUCAGAAAGCCACGGCUAACUACGUG